rnacentral:rRNA from 1 species
CCUACGGGAGGUAGCAGUGGGGAAUAUUGCGCAAUGGGCGAAAGCCUGACGCAGCGACGCCGCGUGAGGGAUGAAGGUCUUCGGAUCGUAAACCUCCGUCAGCAGGGAAGAACGGUCACUGUGCUAAUCAGCAGUGAAUUGACGGUACCUGCAAAGGAAGCACCGGCUAACUCCGUGCCAGCAGCCGCGGUAAUACGGAGGGUGCGAGCGUUAAUCGGAAUUACUGGGCGUAAAGCGCUCGUAGGCGGUAUGUCAAGUCAAGGGUGAAAUCCCCGGGCUCAACGUGGGAACUGCCUUUGAAACUAGGUAACUUGAGUGUGUGAGAGGAUAGUGGAAUUCCAGGUGUAGCAGUGAAAUCCGUAGAUAUCUGGAGGAACAUCAGUGGCGAAGGCGACUAUCUGGCACAUAACUGACGCUGAGGAGCGAAAGCGUGGGUAGCAAACAGGAUUAGAUACCCGUGUAGUC